GUUCAGAGGUCGGGUGAGGAAGUGUCUCUGCAGCAGGUCCGUGUCUGGCAUGCUGGAGGGGGGAUGGCUGGCCGGCUGAUCAGAGAACUCGGACAGACAGCUCCAGUGAUGAGGAGGGCACAGCUGCGGGCAGCCAGAAAACAAAGAGCCUUAUGUACACCUGGUGCGGAGGUGCAGCCCUGCCCCACCCCCAACCCGAUCGCAGGCCACGCCCAUGUUCCCCUGGACUACGCGGAGAACACCAGAGGAGCGGAACCCAUAACUUCUACUGAGGCUGUCUGUCCGUCCUGUGUGAGCUUGCAUGGAAGGAGCAACGGUGGCUGGGACCCGGGAGCUGCAUUAGAGGAGGUCAUGUGACUUGAAAAUGACUCCGAUUGGCCAAAUCCGUCAGCUGACGCUGGAGGAAGAUACCAGGACCCAUGACCAGCACCAGCGGGAGACAACAGCUAGUGGACGCCAGCCAACAGCAGACCGCCAUACAUGGAAAGCCACGGACGCCUCCAUCUGUGGCGGAAGCUGCUGAGUAUUCAUGAAAACAGGAAUCGGAUGUUACCCUCUGGCAUAAACACCACUCAAGCAUUUGUGUCCCAAAUAAUAAGACUCAUCAGAUGCACAAAUGGACCCUAAAGGCCAAUAGGGCAAGGACCUAUUAUUUCUUGAACUUGUGACAAAUAUAUAUAUAAUGUCUAUUAAUAAAUAAUAAACUGUUUCUGCAUAUGUGCAUAGCUCCCAACAUAUGAAAAUGCCAAGUCAGGACAAAACAUGCCCCACCCACAAUCUGUCCAAACCCCACCCUCAAUCCAACUAGACACCCAUACCCGCUACAAUUGAGGUCCAUCAAUCAGGACCAUAACAUGAAAAUCUGGGUAAUUGGGAGAUCCAGAAUCAUCCGGUGGCCUACAGCCACUUUCCUCCCUCAGUUACAGUAUGCCUUCUCGUAUAUCGGUCUAAUUUAUCAAGCAUUGUGAUACAUGCAAAACAUUUUACUUUAUUUUACACUUCUGUAAUUAGAUGGAGUGUAGCUAGGAUAUU